rnacentral:rRNA from 1 species
GGUGAACGCUAGCGGCAGGCCUAAUACAUGCAAGUCGAACGGAUAUAUGUUUUUCGGAAUAUAUAUUAGUGGCGCACGGGUGAGUAACACGUACAUAACUUGCCCUCAAGCGGGGGAUAGCCUUGGGAAACUGAGAGUAAUACCCCAUAGAAUUAUUGGACGGCAUCGUUUGAUAAUUAAAACUACGGUGUUUGGGGAUAGAUGUGCGUCUGAUUAGCUAGUUGGUGAGGUAACUGCUCACCAAGGCGACGAUCAGUAGGGGGCGUGAGAGCGUGGCCCCCCACACGGGUACUGAGACACGGACCCGACUCCUACGGGAGGCAGCAGUAAGGAAUAUUGGUCAAUGGAGGGAACUCUGAACCAGCCAUGCCGCGUGAAGGA